GACACGCUGGCGGCGUGGAUUAGGCAUGCAAGUCGAACGGUAUCAUCCUUUCGGGGAUGAGAGAGUGGCGAACGGGUGAGUAACACGUAGGUGAUCUACCCUCAAGACGGGGACAACCCAGGGAAACUUGGGCUAAUACCGGAUGUGAGCAACCUUAGGGUUGUUUGAAAGGUGGCUUCGGCUGCCGCUUGGGGAUGAGCCUGCGUCCUAUUAGCUAGUUGGUGAGGUAACGGCUCACCAAGGCAGUGAUAGGUAGGCGGCCUUAACGGGUGGUCGCCCACACUGGGAUUGAGAUACGGCCCAGACCCCUACGGGAGGCAGCAGUCGAGAAUAGUCUACAAUGGUCGAAAGACUGAUAGUGCGACGCCGCGUGAACGAAGAAGCCCUUCGGGGUGUAAAGUUCUUUUAUAUGUGAGCAGUGGGUUCCAUAUGAAUAGUAUGGGAUCAGAGAUAUUAGCAUAUGAAUAAGCAACGGCUAACUCCGUG
rnacentral:rRNA from 1 species